AGGGUGAUGCCUGCCCAAUGGUUGUAUCUAAAAGCGGUUGAUAAAAGUCGACCUCGUAAGGACAAUUGAAUGGCCGCGGUAACACUGACCGUGAUAAUGUAGCGUAAUCAAUAGCCAAUUAAUUGUUGGCCAGUAUGAAUGGCGCCACGAAGGCCCCACUGUCUUAAGGAAAUUCCCAGUGAAAUUGAAUUCGUAGUGAAGAUGCUACGUCCAAUUUGUUAGACGAAAAGACCCCGUUGAGCUUUACUGGGGCACUUACACGGCCCCGGCCUUCCCGUGUCCGGGAACCGGCCGAAUUUAAAUGGGUGGUUUAGACUAUGUGGCAGCCCCCCGCCGGGGCAGAUGAAACCCCACUCCCCCAUGUCAAAGGGGCUACCCCCCUCUUGGGGGGGAGAGUGUAAGUAGGACAGUUUGGUUGGGGCGACCGCCUUUUAAAGAGUAACGAAGGUGCGCUUAAGGUGCGCAAUUAAUGACUGAAGCCUGACUGCGAGGGGGACACCCCGAGCAGACACCCCUAAGCCCGCCCGAAGGG
rnacentral:rRNA from 1 species